UCUGGGGGAUAGCCUUUCGAAAGGAAGAUUAAUACCCCAUAAUAUAUUGAGUGGCAUCACUUGAUAUUGAAAACUCCGGUGGAUAGAGAUGGGCACGCGCAAGAUUAGAUAGUUGGUGAGGUAACGGCUCACCAAGUCAAUGAUCUUUAGGGGGCCUGAGAGGGUGAUCCCCCACACUGGUACUGAGACACGGACCAGACUCCUACGGGAGGCAGCAGUGAGGAAUAUUGGACAAUGGGUGAGAGCCUGAUCCAGCCAUCCCGCGUGAAGGACGACUGCCCUAUGGGUUGUAAACUUCUUUUAUACUGGGAUAAACCUACCCUUCGUGAGGGUAGCUGAAGGUACAGUAUGAAUAAGCACCGGCUAACUCCGUGCCAGCAGCCGCGGUAAUACGGAGGGUGCAAGCGUUAUCCGGAUUUAUUGGGUUUAAAGGGUCCGUAGGCGGACUCGUAAGUCAGUGGUGAAAUCUCAUAGCUUAACUAUGAAACUGCCAUUGAUACUGCGGGUCUUGAGUAAAGUAGAAGUGGCUGGAAUAAGUAGUGUAGCGGUGAAAUGCAUAGAUAUUACUUAGAACACCAAUUGCGAAGGCAGGUCACUAUGUUUUAACUGACGCUGAUGGACGAAAGCGUGGGGAGCGAACAGGAUUAGAUACCCUGGUAGUCCACGCCGUAAACGAUGCUAACUCGUUUUUGGGUUUUCGGAUUCAGAGACUAAGCGAAAGUGAUAAGUUAGCCACCUGGGGAGUACGUUCGCAAGAAUGAAACUCAAAGGAAUUGACGGGGGCCCGCACAAGCGGUGGAUUAUGUGGUUUAAUUCGAUGAUACGCGAGGAACCUUACCAAGGCUUAAAUGGGAAUUGACAGGUUUAGAAAUAGAUCCUUCUUCGGACAAUUUUCAAGGUGCUGCAUGGUUGUCGUCAGCUCGUGCCGUGAGGUGUUAGGUUAAGUCCUGCAACGAGCGCAACCCCUGUCACUAGUUGCCAUCAUUCAGUUGGGGACUCUAGUGAGACUGCCUACGCAAGUAGAGAGGAAGGUGGGGAUGACGUCAAAUCAUCACGGCCCUUACGCCUUGGGCCACACACGUAAUACAAUGGCCGGUACAGAGGGCAGCUACUAUGCGAAUAGAUGCGAAUCUCGAAAGC
rnacentral:rRNA from 1 species